rnacentral:rRNA from 1 species
GACGAACGCUGGCGGCGUGCUUAACACAUGCAAGUCGAACGGAAAGGCCCUGCUUUUGUGGGGUGCUCGAGUGGCGAACGGGUGAGUAACACGUGAGUAACCUGCCCUUGACUUUGGGAUAACUUCAGGAAACUGGGGCUCAUACCGGGUAGGAGCUCCUGCUCCAUGGUGGGGGUUGGAAAGUUUCGGCGGUUGUGGAUGGACUCGCGGCUUAUGAGCUUGUUGGUGGGGUAGUGGCAUACCAAGGCUUUGACGGGUAGCCGGCCUGAGAGGGGGAACGGCCACAAUGGGACUGAGAUACGGCCCAGAAGGCUACGGGAGGCAGCAGGGGGGAAUAUGGCGCAACGGGCGGAAGCCUGAUGCAGCAACGCCGCGAGCGGGAUGCCGGCCUUCGGGUUGUAAACAGCUGUCGACUGUGACGAAGCGUGAGUGACGGUAAUGGGUAAAGAAGCACCGGCUAACUACGUG